rnacentral:lncRNA from 1 species
UAAUAUUAUAGAAAACGAUAUCCCUAUGUUUCAAUCGUUGAAAUAAUGGUUGUUAAAAGAUUUAUUCAUAAACGAUAUGGGAUAAGCAACUUGAUCUACAGAGGUAGAUUUAGAAGAUUGCUUAACUCAUUCCAAUUUACAUAGAUGAAAUCUUGAGAAGAUUUCAUAUGGAGAAAUUGGUUUACUCUUAAGCGGUAUGUUGGAAAGGUUCCAAACGUGAAGCAACCGUUGAUUCAAUAGUAGAAACCUAAUACAUGGAUACUUCAGAAGUAGCAAAGAGUUGCAAUAUGAAUCAUGAUGUUCAUAAAUGAACUUGGAGUAGUUCCUAAUAUUGUUGAUCACAUACAAUAGUAUUGUGAUAACAAUAGAGCCAUUGUGAAAGCAAUGGAACUAAGGUCUCAUCAAUGAUCCAAA